UGCUGCGCGGCGGCCGGGCUGCUCCCGGGGCUCCCGACGCCCGGUACCCAGCGGGGGGCAGGGGGGCAGCUCCGGCUGACUGGGGGUGGCCUUCGCGCUCCGGGACCAUGCUGCGCCGCGUGUGGGGCUUCCUGUUGCCCACAGUGGCUGGCCAGGAAGACAAAUCCGACCGCCUUUUCGAAGAGCUCUUCCGGAAGCUGGACCACCACGGGAACGGCAUGGUGGACAUCACAGAGCUGCAGAAAGAACUGGAAGCUAUGGGCAUCCCUGUGGGCCAGGAAGAAGAGAUACUAUUAAAAUCUGUUGAUAUUAAUGCCUGCAAUCUGCUGAACCUCAGCACAUUUAUGCAGUACCUUAAAGAUAAUGAGAAGACGAUGAGGUGGACUUUUAAGAGUUUGGACAUGAAUAAUGAUGGUUUGUCUUUAUACAGAGUGAUUGAUGCUUCAGAAAUUAUUGAUGUUCUUGACCUAAUAGGUAUACAUAUUUCUGAAGAAGAGGCAGUGAAGAUUCUUGAAAGGAUGGAUAUUGAUGGGUCAAUGACAGUGGACUGGGAUGAAUGGAGGAAGUAUUUUUUAUUUAAACCUGCAAGAAAUGUUAGGGAAAUUGCCCGUCACUGGAACUAUAUUACUGGAAUUGAUAUGGGAGAAAGAUGGACUUUUCAUGAAUUAACUGAUGAAGAAAGAAGCUCCGGCCUGUUAGGGAGGUAUCUGUUGGCUGGAGGCAUAGCUGGUACUUGCGCUAGAACAUGCACAGCACCGUUGGAGCGUCUAAAAACCCUAAUGCAAGCUCAGAGUUUAGAAGCAAAGAAUGUGAAGAUAAUAAACCAUUUCAUAGAGAUGGUCAAAGAGGGUGGAGUCAUUUCUCUGUGGAGAGGAAAUGGUAUGCAUAUUCUCAAGAUUGCUCCUGAAACAGCUGUUAAGGUCUGGUCAUAUGAACAGUAUAAGAAGUUUCUUUCUUCUGAAGGAACCAAAUUAGAAACUUUUGAGCAAUUUGCUUCUGCUUCUUUGGCUGGUGCUACUGCACAAUCUUUUAUUUACCCCUUGGAGGUUUUAAAAACUAAUUUGGCAGUGAGUAGAACUGGGCAGUACUCUGGGAUUUUGGAUUGUGCCAGGAAGAUUUGGAAACUUGAAAGGGUUACAGGCUUUUACAAAGGCUAUGUCCCUAGUCUUCUGGCUAUCAUACCAUAUGUAGGCAUAGAUUUUACUAUUUAUGAGCUUUUGAAGACUCAUUUACUAAACACUGAUACAGAAGGCCCUGGGUUGCUGACUUUGAUUGGAUAUAAUGCCUUCUCUAACUUUUGUGGUCAGUUUAUCAGCUACCCCCUGCACCUAGUGAGAACUCGCAUGCAAGUUCAAGUUUCUUAGGUUCAAAGUUUAGAUCUGGGGUUGCCAAACUAUGCCUCGCAGGCCAAAUCUUACCCACCACCCACAUGUGCAUAAUGGGAGGCCCACAGCUAAAUAUGAUCAGCGUCUUUCGUCAAAUUUAUAAAAGCAGUGGAGUGAUGAGGUUUUUCAGAGGCAUGACUCCAAAUUUCUUAAAGUUGCUUCCUU